rnacentral:rRNA from 1 species
UACGUAGGGGGCGAGCGUUGUCCGGAUUUAUUGGGCGUAAAGAGCGUGUAGGCGGCCAGGUAGGUCUGCUGUGAAAACUCGAGGCUCAACCUCGAGACGUCGGCGGAAACCAUCUGGCUAGAGUCCGGAAGAGGAGAGUGGAAUUCCUGGUGUAGCGGUGAAAUGCGCAGAUAUCAGGAAGAACACCGGUGGCGAAGGCGACAUCCUGGACCGGUAUUGACGCUGAGGCGCGAAAGCCAGGGAGCAAACGGG